rnacentral:rRNA from 1 species
AACGUAGGAGGCGAGCGUUAUCCGGAUUUACUGGGUGUAAAGCGCGUGCAGGCGGUUUGUUAAGUUGGGUGUAAAAGCUCCUGGCUCAACUGGGAGAGGUCGCUCAAGACUGGCAGACUGGAGCAUGGUAGAGGAAGGUGGAAUUCCGGGAGUAGUGGUGAAAUGCGUAGAUAUCCGGAGGAACACCAGUGGCGAAAGCGGCCUUCUGGACCAUGACUGACGCUCAGACGCGAAAGCCAGGGGAGCAAACGGG